GACGAACGCUGGCGGCGUGCCUAAUACAUGCAAGUUGAGCGAUGAAGAUUGGUGCUUGCACCAAUUUGAAGAGCAGCGAACGGGUGAGUAACGCGUGGGGAAUCUGCCUUUGAGCGGGGGACAACAUUUGGAAACGAAUGCUAAUACCGCAUAACAACUUUAAACAUAAGUUUUAAGUUUGAAAGAUGCAAUUGCAUCACUCAAAGAUGAUCCCGCGUUGUAUUAGCUAGUUGGUGAGGUAAAGGCUCACCAAGGCGAUGAUACAUAGCCGACCUGAGAGGGUGAUCGGCCACAUUCGGACUGAGACACGGCCCAAACUCCUACGGGAGGCAGCAGUAGGGAAUCUUCGGCAAUGGACGAAAGUCUGACCGAGCAACGCCGCGUGAGUGAAGAAGGUUUUCGGAUCGUAAAACUCUGUUGGUAGAGAAGAACGUUGGUGAGAGUGGAAAGCUCAUCAAGUGACGGUAACUACCCAGAAAGGGACGGCUAACUACGUG
rnacentral:rRNA from 1 species